AGUGAACGCUGGCGGUAGGCCUAACACAUGCAAGUCGAACGGCAGCACAGUAAGAGCUUGCUCUUACGGGUGGCGAGUGGCGGACGGGUGAGGAAUACAUCGGAAUCUACUUUUUCGUGGGGGAUAACGUAGGGAAACUUACGCUAAUACCGCAUACGACCUACGGGUGAAAGCAGGGGAUCUUCGGACCUUGCGCGAUUGAAUGAGCCGAUGUCGGAUUAGCUAGUUGGGGGGGUAAAGGCCCACCAAGGCGACGAUCCGUAGCUGGUCUGAGAGGAUGAUCAGCCACACUGGAAGUGAGACACGGUCCAGACUCCUACGGGAGGCAGCAGUGGGGAAUAUUGGACAAUGGGCGCAAGCCUGAUCCAGCCAUACCGCGUGGGUGAAGAAGGCCUUCGGGUUGUAAAGCCCUUUUGUUGGGAAAGAAAAGCAGCAGGUUAAUACCCCGCUGUUCUGACGGUACCCAAAGAAUAAGCACCGGCUAACUUCGUG
rnacentral:rRNA from 1 species